AUCAGGUAACAUCAAAUCGUACCCCAAACCGACACAGGUGGUCAGGUAGAGAAUACCAAGGCGCUUGAGAGAACUCGGGUGAAGGAACUAGGCAAAAUGGUGCCGUAACUUCGGGAGAAGGCACGCUGACACGUAGGUGAAGUGAUUUACUCAUGGAGCUGAAGUCAGUCGAAGAUACCAGCUGGCUGCAACUGUUUAUUAAAAACACAGCACUGUGCAAACACGAAAGUGGACGUAUACGGUGUGACGCCUGCCCGGUGCCGGAAGGUUAAUUGAUGGGGUCAGCGCAAGCGAAGCUCCUGAUCGAAGCCCCGGUAAACGGCGGCCGUAACUAUAACGGUCCUAAGGUAGCGAAAUUCCUUGUCGGGUAAGUUCCGACCUGCACGAAUGGCGUAAUGAUGGCCAGGCUGUCUCCACCCGAGACUCAGUGAAAUUGAACUCGCUGUGAAGAUGCAGUGUACCCGCGGCAAGACGGAAAGACCCCGUGAACCUUUACUAUAGCUUGACACUGAACAUUGAGCCUUGAUGUGUAGGAUAGGUGGGAGGCUUUGAAGCGUGGACGCCAGUCUGCGUGGAGCCGACCUUGAAAUACCACCCUUUAAUGUUUGAUGUUCUAACGUGGACCCGUAAUCCGGGUUGCGGACAGUGUCUGGUGGGUAGUUUGACUGGGGCGGUCUCCUCCUAAAGAGUAACGGAGGAGCACGAAGGUUGGCUAAUCCUGGUCGGACAUCAGGAGGUUAGUGCAAUGGCAUAAGCCAGCUUGACUGCGAGCGUGACGGCGCGAGCAGGUGCGAAAGCAGGUCAUAGUGAUCCGGUGGUUCUGAAUGGAAGGGCCAUCGCUCAACGGAUAAAAGGUACUCCGGGGAUAACAGGCUGAUACCGCCCAAGAGUUCAUAUCGACGGCGGUGUUUGGCACCUCGAUGUCGGCUCAUCACAUCCUGGGGCUGAAGUAGGUCCCAAGGGUAUGGCUGUUCGCCAUUUAAAGUGGUACGCGAGCUGGGUUUAGAACGUCGUGAGACAGUUCGGUCCCUAUCUGCCGUGGGCGCUGGAAGACUGAGGGGGGCUGCUCCUAGUACGAGAGGACCGGAGUGGACGCAUCACUGGUGUUCGGGUUGUCAUGCCAAUGGCACUGCCCGGUAGCUAAAUGCGGAAAAGAUAAGUGCUGAAAGCAUCUAAGCACGAAACUUGCCCCGAGAUGAGUCUUCCCUGAGACUUUGAGUCUCCUGAAGGAACGUUAAAGACGAUGACGUUGAUAGGCCGGGUGUGUAAGCGCAGCGAUGCGUUGAGCUAACCGGUACUAAUGAACCGUGAGG
rnacentral:rRNA from 1 species